rnacentral:misc_RNA from 1 species
GUGAAUCAUCGAAUUUUUGAACGCAAAUUGCACUUUCUGGUAUUCCGGAGAGUAUGCCUGUUUGAGGGUCAGUUUAAAAAAAAUCAGGGUUGUUUGUUGCUUUCUGUGGGGAGGCACGGAAUUUGGGUCGUUUACCUUUCGGUAAAGUGCUUAAAAUUUUUGAAUGUUUUCUUUCGUAUUUAAUUAUCUGAUGUUAGUUAGAGUUGUGAUAUAGAAUAUUAGGUGUGGUCAUCCUCAUGAUUCGCGCCUAUAAUUUUUCAUCAAAUGAACCUAAAAUCGGUUAGAAUAACCG